UUUACACUGUAAAAUGUAAUAUUGUGUUUAAUUAAAAAUAUUAAAUAGGCUGAACUCAAUUUUUAUCAAUUUGUUAUUAGAACUCAAUUUAAAUAAGUUACCAGUACUUUUUAUGCAAAAAUGCUGAUAAACUCGAUUAAUUUGAGUUGUCCUAACUUAGAAAAACUAAGUAAGCUGGAAGUUUUGCUUCUCAGGGCGGAAGGAUGAAAGAUGUGUUUUGAAAAUGCCACGUGACUACCGUCCUCCUCCCUCCCGGAUCAGUCCGCAUGUUCAUGGCGCCAGCAUUUGUUAUGGAAUAUAUUGAGCAAACCUGGAGAUAUUAUUGUUGUCAUUGCUGUGGAUCUUUACUGACUUGGCUCGGGACCAGCACUCCUGUUGUUGGACAGAAAGACAUCAACUCAGUGGUAAGUGUUUUGGUUUUCCAAUAUAUUAGUAACUGUCAGUGACAUUUAUAUUAACCAGGCCGAACUUUAAUCAUACUUUAGAUCAGCCUGUUUUACUUAUUGUUUUAUUUGUGCUUUGGUUUGGGGAAGUUGUUUCUUUACUGAUCUUUUCCUGUCUUCUGUUAUUAGACUUGAGAUGUGACUGCACGAUGCUGUUGCUUCGACUCCAGUUAAUUCUACAAGACAUGCUGUGUAAGUAAACAAACAACAACAGUUUGGUCUGCAUUUCUUGAAAGAUCACAUCCCCCAAACUUAGUUUAGAGGGUCUACACUGUAUAUAGUGAAGUCUGCAAGUUUUCUAACAGCAAAAUUUGUUUUGUGCCCAAAAUCAUUUUGCACAUCAUUAGAAUGAAAGUUAUUGCCCAUGUUUGCAUAGCACUUUUUAAAGUUAUUCUUUCAUGACAAUAUUGUGUGUUGGUCACAGCUAUCCAGACUGACAAUUGGGACAUUGAAUGUCACCUCUCCGGCGGGGAGGGAGCCUGAGAUUGUCUAAAUUGGAGUCUGUUUUAUACCAAAUGCAGAAAAAAUGUUUUAAGAAAGCAAUU
rnacentral:lncRNA from 1 species